GCCAAGCGAUGCCACCGGGGUCCUGGACACGCACCGCUGGGCGGCAGGUUCGCCUUGCUGUAGCUGGAGUAGGCCAUGCAGAGUCUGUUUCACAACGCGGUCAGGGCCCAUACUGUCCAGUGAAGAGGCUGUGCUGCUAGAUUUAAACAGAGUCUCAAGCUAUUGCUGUGACUGAUCUUCCCUUUUCUGGCCUGACAUUCAGGGAAAGAGGAAGAGAUGGCAGUUUCUUGGGGCUCAGUGACCUAUGAAGAUGUAGCUGUGAUAUUCACUCAAGAGGAGUGGGCACUAUUGAAUCCUUCAGAGAAGAAACUCUACAGAGAUGUGAUGUGUGAAAACUUGACGAACUUUCUUUCACUAGAAAAGAUACAAGGACAUUCCACCGAACGCCAGCAUAUCUUGCAUGGGAGUAAACAAAGGUAAGAGUCACAUUUACAAUAAAGCAUGAUGUAACACCUAAAAAACUACUGUGUUUUCA